rnacentral:rRNA from 1 species
AGAUGCGAUCAUACCAGCACUAAAGCAUCGGAUCCCAUCAGAACUCCGAAGUUAAGCGUGCUUGGGCGAGAGUAGUACUAGGAUGGGUGACCUCCUGGGAAGUCCUCGUGUUGCAUUCC